rnacentral:tRNA from 1 species
UCUUCGGCCGAGUGGUUAAGGCGUUGGACUUGAAAUCCAAUGGGGUUUCCCCGCGCAGGUUCAAACCCUUCUCACAGUG